rnacentral:rRNA from 1 species
CCUACGGGAGGCAGCAGUGGGGGAUUAUGGGACAUUGGGGGGACCCCUGAUCCAGCAAUGCCGCGGGUGUGAAGAAGCCCCUCGUGUUGAAAAGCACUUCCAGUGAGAAAGAACGCCUGUUGGUUAUUCCCCAUCGGGAAGGACAUAACUAAAAGAAGAAGCACCGCCUAACUCCGUGCCAGCAGCCGCGGUAAUACGGAGGGUGCGAGCGUUAAUCGGAAUUACUGGGCGUAAAGCGCGCGUAGGUGGCUUGAUAAGCCGGUUGUGAAAGCCCCGGGCUCAACCUGGGAACGGCAUCCGGAACUGUCAAGCUAGAGUGCAGGAGAGGAAGGUAGAAUUCCCGGUGUAGCGGUGAAAUGCGUAGAGAUCGGGAGGAAUACCAGUGGCGAAGGCGGCCUUCUGGACUGACACUGACACUGAGGUGCGAAAGCGUGGGUAGCAAACAGGAUUAGAUACCCUAGUAGUC